AUAUUGUAUAUAUUUAAUUUUUUAUUAUAUAAUAUAUUUUAGCUAUUAUUUUAGAUUUAUAUAGACUGUAAGCUCCUAUGGGGCAGGGACUGACUUGUAUUCUCUAUACAUACCGCGCUGCAUUUAUUUGUGGUACUAUAUAAAGAAACAACAAUAAUAAAUAUGCACGUAUAUCAUGAACAUAUUAUCGCGCCUCUAAUUUUUUUUUUCAGGUGGACCAUCUUCAUGCUUGAAUUGUGAGGUCAUCAGCCACCAACCUACAUCUCCGGGGCUUCUGUGAGGUCAUCUUUACUCUGAAGAUAGAACCGCAGGAGUAGCAGACUCAAGACAGGUGGACCAUCUUCAUGCUUGAAUUGUGAGGUCAUCAGCCACCAACCUACAUCUCCGGGGCUUCUGUGAGGUCAUCUUUACUCUGAAGAUAGAACCGCAGGAGUAGCAGACUCAAGACAGGUGGACCAUCUUCAUGCUUGAAUUGUGAGGUCAUCAGCCACCAACCUACAUCUCCGGGGCUUCUGUGAGGUCAUCUUUACUCUGAAGAUAGAACCGCAGGAGUAGCAGACUCAAGACAGGUGGACCAUCUUCAUGCUUGAAUUGUGAGGUCAUCAGCCACCAACCUACAUCUCCGGGGCUUCUGUGAGGUCAUCUUUACUCUGAAGAUAGAACCGCAGGAGUAGCAGACUCAAG